CAAGCUCUAGCCAUCGUCGCCACGCCAUUUUUUCAUUCUGCGAUCGUUUUAGGGCAGCGGAGCAGCGUUUGUCACCUUCCGUGCCUGCCGAAGUCUCCUACUCAGCUACCAAGGUGCCAGGAUGCCUAGACUGCGGGAGAAGCCGCACGCGCGAAAAAAGAGCGUCGCUGGAAACAAAGACAAUAUUCGAGGACUUCGGAUCUCGCACCGGCAGCCAGCAGUCAACAGCUCGAGAAUUCGCAAGUCUAGAACUGUGCAGUGGCGCGUAUACCCCGCACGCAUGCAUUAACAUGUGCGGUCGGGCUGUCCCUGCAAACAUUUGUACGCCUUGUGAUGUUGGUCGCUGCACCGAGGCGACAUCGGAAGUUCAGGACGGUGGUUGUGACACUACGCUCACUAAGGACAAUGGGUAGUUCUGAACUUAGUGUCACACAUUACUUCCCCCCUCUUCUUUGGCUUCUGGAUUGGAUUGGCGCGGCUCGCUACGUGCUUGCGCGCGCUUUUCCGAGCGCAGAUUGGUGUGCGCCUGGUUUCUGCACUAGGCUGUUAUGCGAUCGCUUUUUCGAGCGCAGAUUGAUGUGAGCCUGGUUUCUGCACUAGGCUUUUGCACGAUCGCCUGCUUUUUGCACUGGGCUUUCAAAAGGCGAAGUGAGCGUCGCUUACUGCAGGCGGCAAGUGAUUUGGCUCAUGUACUGCGUGAGCAAAAACAUAGGCACUUGGCUCAUGAAGGAGAUGACCGGCGACUUGCUUAAUCUGUCGGACCAUGUCAUCGCCGACUGGAGGAACUACGCUCGUGAGGUCGUGCGGGACGAGCUGCUGGCGCGACCCCCACUCGGUGGCCCCGGGAGGAUUGUGCAAAUUGAUGAAUGCCUCCUUCGCGGCAAGCGAAAAUACAAUCGAGGCCGCCUGAUGACGGGCGACAACGUUCCGCCGAGCCGCCAAAAUUACGGCGGCAUUGCAGAUCGUGGACCAUGGGUAUUCGGCAUGAUCUGCGUGACCACCGGGGAGCUCCGACUAUUCAAGGUCGACCGACGAGACGCGGCGACGCUAGGCCCCAUUAUUGCAGCCAACGUUGAACCGGGAACCACCAUCCACAGUGAUGAAUGGGCCCCAUACAACUGCAUCCCGAACUUGGUGGGGGCUAACGGAGCAAGACUGAAUUUCCAAUGGGAGGCUGUUAACCACAGCAUGAACUUUGUAGACCCAAUCACGGGCGCUCACACCCAGAAAAUCGAAAGCUACUGGCAGAAGGUGAAGCGCUACCUCGACUCCGCCGGCUACAGGGUGACUCCACAGCUUCUCGAGUCGCACCUGAUAUGGCUAUGGUGGGCAUCGAUUAAUGGGCACAUGCGCUGCAAGGACUCGUUUCUGCGUUUAUUUGAAGCGAUCGCACGGCGCUACCCACUGUGACAUAGUAAUGGAAAAUAAAGCGCACUUUUCUGACCCUUUGCUUUUGUAUGAAUGUUUCCCGGCAUUGCUGCGCGCUUCCAUACACGGUAGGCCCGCGGCGCUGCACUUCCGCAGUAAGCGACGCUCACUUCGCCUUUUGAAAGCCCAGUGCAAAAAGCAGGCGAUCGUGCAAAAUCCUAGUGCAGAAACCAGGCUCACAUCAAUCUGCGCUCGAAAAAGCGAUCGCAUAACAGCCUAGUGCAGAAACCAGGCGCACACCAAUCUGCGCUCGGAAAAGCGCGCGCAAGCACGUAGCGAGCCGCGCCAAUCCAAUCCAGAAGCCAAAGAAGAGGGGGGAAGUAAUGUGUGACACUAAGUUCAGAACUACCAGGACAAUGUGCCUUGUUUCCCUGAUGGAUAUACUCUACGUGACGCUUCGGAUGGUUCACUUCGCUGUGAGAACGGAACAGGAUCCCUUAGGAGAGGUGUACGCACAAGUCAAUGCGGGUUUUCUGGUAAGCAGGACCCCGGAGUCUACAUUUUUCUUUAGCUACCGCGGACUCUUCAUUGGCGCCCUUUUGAUUCUCCUGGCAAAGAGCUUCUCCUGGCUAAUGCGCUCAUGAUCAGAGCUGUAGCCGUCAGUAGCAGCAAGAUCGCCUGCUGAUCUCUACGAAAAAUAAAAAGCUCCUUUUAAAAAAGUGAAGAAUAUAUUAGUUGUUUUUAUCUACAAGUUUGUUUAAUAUCGUGAGAAUAUGGUCACUACGGCCACGGCGGGGACAUUGUAAACGAGAGUACGCAUUCGAUGGCCAAGUGAGUUUUAAUAAUUGUAAGAACGCACUACGCCACGAGAAAGAGCUAUUGUUUAAAGAAAGUGAAGAAUAUAUUGAUUGUUCUUCACUAAUAGUUCGUUUAGCUACGUCAGAAUGUGGAGACAUUGGGAACGAGAGUACGCAUUUGACGGCAAGUUGACUUACGAGAACGCACUACGUCGCGAAUAACACUUAAGCUGCAAUACCAUUAAGCAUGUCCGUGUGGCACCCCGCGAAUGACAUUAAAGUUUAAGGCAUUAGCCAGUUAAUGUCAUUUUUUGUGCCCGUGUCGCAGAGUGCUAGUGAAGUGAUGUAGUCAAGAUUAAUUCCUUCAUGUCAUUUCUGUUGCUUUCGCUGCUUAAUAAUGCUAAUUGAUGUAUUUUUGCUCUUUUUAUUCCAUGCUGCAAACACAAAUGUCAAUGCAGGGUGGGCAAUAAGUAUUUUUUGUUCUGCUGUUCUCUACCUUGUGUUGUGCUAUUGAAAUUGCAAGUUUUCUUCUUUAUCCGUGUAUUUAUUUGUUCUUUGAACAGUACGCAUAUAUCUGCUUAUUGGUCUUUUUAUGUAUAUGUAUAAGGUGACAAUAAACGUUUAAUUGUAUUUGGAA